rfam:Nicotiana attenuata strain TT chromosome 2, whole genome shotgun sequence.
UGGACAAAUUACUGUGUUCGACUGUAUUCACGACGUGAAACAGGGGAUUACACUGUUUUAAAACGAAAAGUGUAUUAAUUAACAUAAUAGACUACU